rnacentral:rRNA from 1 species
GGCAGCAUAGGGUAGCAAUACUCUGAUGGUUGACGGCGCACGGGUGAGUAACGCGUAUGCACCUACCCUGUACUGGGGGAUAACCCGGAGAAAUUCGGACUAAUACCCCAUAAUGAUAUUGAGAGGCAUCUCUUAAUAUUUAAAGUUCCGACGGUACGGGCUGGGCAUGCGUAAGAUUAGCUAGUUGGCAGGGUAACGGCCUACCAAGGCUACGAUCUUUAGGGGUCCUGAGAGGGUGAUCCCCCACACUGGUACUGAGACACGGACCAGACUCCUACGGGAGGCAGCAGUGAGGAAUAUUGGUCAAUGGGCGCAAGCCUGAACCAGCCAUCCCGCGUGAAGGAAGAAGGCGCUAUGCGUUGUAAACUUCUUUUCCAGGAGAAUAAAAUUCUGUACGUGUACGGAAUUGAAGGUAUCCUGGGAAUAAGCAUCGGCUAACUCCGUGCCAGCAGCCGCGGUAAUACGGAGGAUGCAAGCGUUAUCCGGAUUUAUUGGGUUUAAAGGGUGCGCAGGCGGAAUAGUAAGUCAGUGGUGAAAACCUGCAGCUUAACUAUAGAAUUGCCGUUGAUACUGUUAUUCUUGAGUAUGGUCAAAGUAAGCGGAAUGUGUAAUGUAGCGGUGAAAUGCU